GGGCCCGCACAAGCGGUGGAUGAUGUGGAUUAAUUCGAUGCAACGCGAAAAACCUUACCUACCCUUGACAUGUCAGGAAUCCGACUGAAAGGUUGGAGUGCCCGAAAGGGAAUCUGAACACAGGUGCUGCAUGGCUGUCGUCAGCUCGUGUCGUGAGAUGUUGGGUUAAGUCCCGCAACGAGCGCAACCCUUGUCCUUAGUUGCCAUCAUUAAGUUGGGCACUUUAAGGAGACUGCCGGUGACAAACCGGAGGAAGGUGGGGAUGACGUCAAGUCCUCAUGGCCCUUAUGGGUAGGGCUUCACACGUCAUACAAUGGUCGGUACAGAGGGUUGCCAACCCGCGAGGGGGAGCCAAUCCCAGAAAGCCGAUCGUAGUCCGGAUCGUAGUCUGCAACUCGACUACGUGAAGUCGGAAUCGCUAGUAAUCGCGGAUCAGCAUGUCGCGGUGAAUACGUUCCCGGGCCUU
rnacentral:rRNA from 1 species